UACGGAGGAUCCAAGCGUUAUCCGGAAUCAUUGGGUUUAAAGGGUCCGUAGGCGGUUUUAUAAGUCAGUGGUGAAAUCUGGUCGCUCAACGAUCAAACGGCCAUUGAUACUGUAGAACUUGAAUUACUUGGAAGUAACUAGAAUAUGUAGUGUAGCGGUGAAAUGCUUAGAGAUUACAUGGAAUACCAAUUGCGAAGGCAGGUUACUAGAAGUAUAUUGACGCUGAUGGACGAAAGCGUGGGGAGCGAACAGG
rnacentral:rRNA from 1 species